UACGAAGGGGGCUAGCGUUGUUCGGAAUUACUGGGCGUAAAGCGCGCGCAGGCGGUCUUCCAAGUCAGUGGUGAAAGCCCGGAGCUCAACUCCAGAACUGCCUUUGAUACUGGAGAGCUUGAGUCCGGGAGAGGUGAGUGGAACUCCUAGUGUAGAGGUGGAAUUCGUAGAUAUUAGGAAGAACACCAGUGGCGAAGGCGGCUCACUGGACCACAACUAGACGCUGAUGGCACGAAAGCUAGGGGAGCAAACAGG
rnacentral:rRNA from 1 species